CCUACGGGAGGCAGCAGUGGGGAAUCUUGCACAAUGGAGGAAACUCUGAUGCAGCGAUGCCGCGUGAGUGAAGAAGACCUUUGGGUUGUAAAGCUCUUUUGUGGGGGAAGAUAAUGACUGUACCCUAAGAAUAAGGUCCGGCUAACUUCGUGCCAGCAGCCGCGGUAAUACGAAGGGACCUAGUGUAGUUCGGAAUUACUGGGCGUAAAGCGCGCGUAGGCCGUUGAGUUAGUUAAUUGUGAAAUCCCAAAGCUUAACUUUGGAACUGCAAUUAAAACUGCUCGACUAGAGUUUGAUAGAGGAAAGCGGAAUACAUAGUGUAGAGGUGAAAUUCGUAGAUAUUAUGUAGAACACCAGUUGCGAAGGCGGCUUUCUGGAUCAACACUGACGCUGAGGCGCGAAAGUAUGGGUAGCAAAGAGGAUUAGAUACCCUCGUAGUCCAUACCAUAAACGAUGAUUGCUAGAUGUUGGAAAUUUAUUUUCAGUAUCGCAGCUAACGCAUUAAGCAAUCCGCCUGGGGAGUACGACCGCAAGGUUAAACUUAAAGGAAUUGACGGNNGAGAGNGCGAGCGACACGAGGAGAG
rnacentral:rRNA from 1 species